rnacentral:rRNA from 1 species
AAAUUUAUUUUUAAGUGAAAAAGCUUAAAUUAGUUUGGGGGACGAUAAGACCCUUUAAAUCUUAGAUUAUUAGUAUUAUUAUAUUUAAAAUAAAUAAAAUAAAGUUUUAUUAAUAAAUUUAUUGGGGUGAUAUUUGAAAUAAAUAAACUUUAGAAAAAAUUACAUGAUUUAUGAAAAUUAUAAACUUUGUUAAAAAAUUUAAAUGAAGUUACUUUAGGGAUAACAGCGUAAUUUUUUUUGAGAGAUCUUAUUAAUAAAAAAGCUUGCGACCUCGAUGUUGAAUUAAAAUGUUAUUAUGGUGCAGAAGUUAUGAUAGUAAGUCUGUUCGACUUUUAAAAUUUUACAUGAUUUGAGUUCAGACCGGUGAGAG